rnacentral:pre_miRNA from 1 species
AAAAAGACAAACCCUGGUUUCCGUGCCCAACGUUUGACCGUUCGUCUUAUUUGAAAAAAAUAUGAAAAAAAUUAAAAAGAUAAGUCACGCACAAAGUAUUAAUCAUGUUUUAUCAUCUAACAAUAAUAAAAAUACGAAUUAUAAAAAAAUUUUAUAUAAGACGGACAAUCAAAGUUGGACACGGAAAUCCAAGGUUUGUCUUUUU